GCAACUCGAAAUCGUUAUCGUACGUCCCCAUGUCUUUUCUCCGGCCACCGAAACGACGCCAUCUGUUUUGUGCGUCUUCUUCUUUAUAAACCAUACGUCUUCGUUCUUCUUCCUUUCACCUCUUCUUCGACUCUAUUAAAAACUCCGAGCUCUCCCCUUAUUCAUCACUAGCUCUUCUUAAAAACAAACAAAAAAAAUUCGAUCUUUAGGGUUUUGCUUCGAUCCCGCUUAGUCAGCUUCGGCGUUUCGAAUUCUCGAGUAAAGAGGUACGGGUUUUGUCCUCAAUUUAGAAGAUCGGGUAUUUGAAUUAAGCAGAACCUGAGUAUCAUCUGUUGCUGAAUUGCUCGAAUUGCUGUGAAAUUAGGGAUUUUUAUUGAUUCCGGAGCUCGAGAUUUGACUUGUUUCAGUUGAUUUUGGGAAAGUAUCGAUCUUUUUUGUGUGUUGGUGAGGUCAAUUGAAGAGAAAAGGUUGAUUUUGUUUUGUGGUAAUGGAGGACGGCGAGCUUGAAUUCUCGAAUCAGGAAGUGUUUUCGAGUUCGGAUAUGGGUGAGUUACCACCUAGCAACUGUUCGAUGGAUAGUUUCUUUGAUGGGCUUUUGAUGGAUACUACUAAUGCCAAUGCUGCUUGUACCCACACUCACACCUGUAACCCCACGGGACCUGAGAAUACUCAUACCCACACGUGUUUCCAUGUCCACACCAAGAUUCUUCCUGACGAGAGCGAUGAAAAAGUUUCCACUGAUGAUACAGCUGAGUCUUGUGGGAAGAAGGGUGAGAAGAGACCUUUGGGAAACCGAGAAGCGGUUAGGAAGUAUAGAGAGAAGAAGAAGGCUAAAGCUGCUUCCUUGGAGGACGAGGUCGCAAGGCUUAGGGCGGUGAAUCAGCAGCUUGUGAAGAGGUUGCAAAAUCAGGCUACCUUGGAAGCUGAGGUCUCCAGACUCAAGUGUUUGCUUGUUGAUUUAAGAGGAAGGAUUGAUGGGGAGAUUGGAUCUUUUCCUUAUCAGAAGCCUAUGUCUGCAAAUAUUCCUUCUUUCUCCCACAUGAUGAAUCCGUGUAAUGUACAAUGCGAUGACGAAGUUUACUGCCCUCAGAAUGGGUUUGGAGGGAACACCCAAGAAGGUGCAUCUAUCAAUGACCAAGGGCUGGGUGGUUGUGAUUUUGAUCAGCUACAAUGCUUGGCUAAUCAGAACUUAGGUGGAAAUGUAAACGGAUCAUUCAACAAUGCCAAUGCAUCUGUCUCGAAUAAGAGAAAAGGUGGGCAUCGCGCAUCAAGAGCUGUUUGAAGUACCAUCAAGCUUGUACCAUCUAUUUCCACCAGCAUAGAUAUUGUAUUCCAAAUAAGUUAUAGAGUUUAGCUGCAGCAUCAGCUCCGCUCAGCUUUAAGGAGUUGGUGAGGAGUGUCUUUGUGGCCCGAGUGAGAUCUCUGGACAGGUGAGUUAUAAAAGAUUCACUUCCUGAGAUCUCUCCUACCUUAUAUGCUUUUAAAAGAACAACUAUACUUGAGGAUUCUUGAAUCUUGUUGAAUACUAGUACCCAGGUUUGGUAGUAAAGGCAGAAUUUCGAUUACCUAUUAAGCAUCAUGUUGUUUGGUGAAGAACAAGGUAUGCCUAUGAAGCAGACUGUUUUGUACUUCGAGCUUGAGGGGCUUUCUCAGUGUCUCUGUUCUAGCCUAAUUGUACCACUGUCCAUUGCAAUGUUCUUACAGUUGUGAUCCCAAGCUGCUUAGCAAACCCUUUUGUUGACUUCAAUGGGAUAUGUAGUUUUAACUUUUACUUGAACUAAUCUCAGGAUCAGGCUUUGCAAUAGGGUUUAUUGUAAAACUAAAGAAUCAUAGCAGAUGUACUGGAAAAACGAUUAUUUCGUACUUAGGGUAGUGCAUACACCAAACUUGUUUA